AAAUCUUCAAACAAUGUUAUAUUACUUAUAUGCAAAAGUGAAAAAAUGGAUGAAAUUCUUAAGCUUGUAUAUAGGGUGAUAUUUUUUGUUUUCUUAUAUCUUGUUAUAUCCGAUAGUCAAAGAACUUGUUCUAAUUUCCUUGAGUGUUAUAAAAUAUAUGGGAUUCCUCUUGAUGGGGUUUGGAGGUGCGUCAAAGGUUUUUGUGAAUUACUUAUAGAUUUCAAUACAUAUAAAGUGAGAGAAGUUGCUAUUGUGAGAGGUGAGAAUAUAAAUUAGAACAUGACAUUUAAUUGAUCGGUUGAGAUCUAAUUUUCAUAUAAAAAGUCAAUUUCAUGCAUGUAACUUUUUGUUCAAUAGCCAUCAUCAAACCUCAACACUGAUCAUGUAAGAAUUAGUUGUUGUAGGUUCGACCAUCAGCACCUCAAGUGAAUAGCCCAUAUAAAAGAUAAAAUAAUAAAAAAAAAUAAAAAAUCUUUUGUUCAAUUCACAACAUCACAUAUUCUAAUUACAGAUUGGGUGUAAAAUUUCCACCAUAAUAAUCAUUUUUUUUGUACA